UACUCCUACGGGAGGCAGCAGUGGGGAAUCUUGCGCAAUGGGCGAAAGCCUGACGCAGCCAUGCCGCGUGAAUGAUGAAGGUCUUAGGAUUGUAAAAUUCUUUCACCGGGGACGAUAAUGACGGUACCCGGAGAAGAAGCCCCGGCUAACUUCGUGCCAGCAGCCGCGGUAAUACGAAGGGGGCUAGCGUUGCUCGGAAUUACUGGGCGUAAAGGGAGCGUAGGCGGACAUUUAAGUCAGGGGUGAAAUCCCGGGGCUCAACCUCGGAAUUGCCUUUGAUACUGGGUGUCUUGAGUAUGAGAGAGGUGUGUGGAACUCCGAGUGUAGAGGUGAAAUUCGUAGAUAUUCGGAAGAACACCAGUGGCGAAGGCGACACACUGGCUCAUUACUGACGCUGAGGCUCGAAAGCGUGGGGAGCAAACAGGAUUAGAUACCCUGGUAGUCCACGCCGUAAACGAUGAUUGCUAGCUGUCGGGAUGCAUGCAUUUCGGUGACGCAGCUAACGCAUUAAGCAAUCCGCCUGGGGAGUACGGUCGCAAGAUUAAAACUCAAAGGAAUUGACGGGGGCCCCCACAAGCGGUGGAGCAUGUGGA
rnacentral:rRNA from 1 species